UACGAAGGGGGCUAGCGUUGUUCGGAAUUACUGGGCGUAAAGCGCGCGCAGGCGGUCCUUUAAGUCAGGGGUGAAAGCCCAGAGCUCAACUCUGGAACUGCCUUUGAAACUAGAGGACUUGGGUACGGGAGAGGUGAGUGGAAUUCCGGGUGUAGAGGUGAAAUUCGUAGAUAUUCGGAAGAACACCAGUGGCGAAGGCGGCUCACUGGCCCGUUACCGACGCUCAGGCGCGACAGCGUGGGGAGCAAACAGG
rnacentral:rRNA from 1 species